GUCUGGAGACACUUUAGGUGUGAGGAAUCUUCAGCUGUCGGUGAGGAGCAGCAGCGAGGAGAAGCAGCUGUCACCACCACAAACACCUGCAGCUCAACAUCUGGAACAGCAGGUGGUGCUGUGGGGCAGGAGCAGAGAUGAGCUUCACCACAGGAUUUACUCCCA